UGGAGAACCGUUCUGUCUCUGGAAUGGCUACUUCCUUUAAAAUGUGGAGCUCAAACUUCCAUUGAAUUGCUUCUCCUCAUGUGCUCGUCUCAAGUAAUCAGAUGUGUGUUGUGCAUGGUGUAUGUGGUACGUGGUAUGUGGUGUGUGGUGUGUGUGGUGCAUGUGGUCGUGUGUGUGAUGUGUGUGGUAUGGUUGUUACAUGGUGUGUGUAGUGUGUAAUGUGUGUGAUGUGUGUGAUGAGUGUGAUGUCUGUGUGUGCAGUGUAUAUGUGUGGUGUGUGUGUGAUGUGUGUGGUUUGCAUGGUGUACAGUCUGUGUGGUGUGGUGUGUGAUAUGUGCAGUGUGUUCUGGGGGUGGCAUGCAAGGUGUAUGAUGUACGUGUGUGUGCAUGUGUGUGCUGUGUGUGUAAUGCAUGUGGCAUGUGGUAUAUGGUGUAUGGUGUUUGUGGGGUGUGAACAGUGUGUGUGUUGUGUGUAAGUCCUCUCUCUCUGCUGCACACAGAGGCCGCCACUGUAUUGGUGCCCUCGGGGCAUCUGGAUCAGACCUCAGCCAUGUGGACACCGGCCCAGCCUGCAGGCUCCCCAGGCGAGUAAGCCUCAGUAUCCCCCCAGGGCCGGCUCCCCAUGCUGCCCCGCGAGAAUGCUCUCCUGUCUGAUUCUCAGACAACUCUUGGCUGGUCUUGGUCCAUUUCUGUGCCUCGUUCUGCAUGAGGACGUACUUUGGCUCUAAUCCUAAGUGGAGCAGGAGAGAGCGGAGGGCGGAAGUCCCCUGAGCAGCUGAGGUGUCUUCUGCCCAGAUGCCUCCUUCAUGCGGUGCUUGCAGGACGUGCUUGAGCCCAGGAAGCCCAGCUGACCCUUCAGAGGUCGCUGUCCCCAUGCCGAUCGGAGACAGCUAGCUGGCAUUUGCCAGAGGACCAACUUUAGAAACGGAGCCCAACAGGGACAGCCCUGCAGGGUCCUGCCAAGUGCAGGACUUCAAUCAUAAUCAGAUUGUUAAUGUGGCUGUUCACUGAAUCGUUGAUAAAAACAAGGCUGACUCUGUCUGGGAGACUCGGCCCUCCGGGUUGCGCCAGGAAAGCUUGUCGUCGCCCUGAGAAGACCGCUUAUCUUGCAGAAUGGAUACAUGUUGGAACACCAAAAGGACUUGAAGAUCAGCAACAAAUGUGUACAGAAGGACCCUGGGCUCAGUGCCUCUUUCUUCAUCAGGGAAAACCUUCCCGAGUCAUCAAAAUGAGGACUUGCAUAAUGAAUUUGCACCAUUCCUCGCCGCAGAAUGCAGGGAGGGAUUUGUAGAUGCUCGAUGAACUGGCGCCUGCAGACUCGCGUCCAAGUGGUAUCUCUGCGCCUCCCUGAGUCUGAUGUGUGGGUGGCGUGGCGCUGGACGUCGUUGAGCAUUUCAGGUCUCCCUCCUGCGAGCCUGGCACCCACAAGCAGCAGUGCUGAGUGUUCCUUUACAAGGAAUGUGUGGGUAACAGCCCGAUACAGGUCUCCUUCACCCAAAGCACCGUGUGCUGUUCAUCUGCAUUUCAGUUGUAUUUUCCACCUGCUAGCACCUUAGAGUCUGGGAGGCCAUGCACUUCCAUGUUGGUCUAAUCCUAAGCUGCUGUUACGCCGCAGAGAAGGGCAGUUUUGUCCGUCGUUUUAACCCCUCACCGUUUCC
rnacentral:lncRNA from 1 species